ACAUACGAAUUUUCGUACAAUCGGCGCAGGCAGCCAUAUUGCUUUUCUCCGUUUUUAUCAUAUUAUAUUGAUUUUAAUUUGUAUUAUCAGUAUUUUUUGACUUAUUAUGAUUAAGCAAUAAACAUUCAACAUUUAAAACGAGAUUUUAAUUUAACAUUUAAAAUAAUUUGGCUGUCAUUUUCGUUUUAGAAAAUUGUGAUAUUAAUAUUUAUUAUUAAGGAUGCCUUUAUGUAUUUUUGAGGGUUGUAGAAGUGGCAGUAGAAGUAAAAAGUACGUAAAGAACAAUACUAUUCAUUUGCAUAAAUUCCCCAAAGAUGUAAACUUACGUGCUAAGUGGGUUUCACAAAUAAAAAAUGGAUCAAAUGUUCAAAAAGUAAAUUGUGAUACAGUGUCUGGUUGUGCAGGAGAUACCUGCGGGUGAUAUGCGCGUCCAACACUUAUGUGGAUUUCCAUUUUACCGCCCGCUGUACGGAAAAAGGACGCUUUCCAACGCUUCAACCACUAUCGAAAACCCAACUUUCGGUGCAGGCGUGGAAAAAAAUUGAAUACAAGGUUGUAAUAUUGCUGUGUCAAAUAAAAAAUCAACCCCAAAAAUGACAACUUCCACAUCAUCAAACAGUCAAACCAAUCAGCUAAUAUGGUGAACUCUUAUAUAUAACUCAGACUAUCCACAUCUCCAAACCAAACGCUAAUAUGGAAAAUUCUUAUGUAAAACCCACAUCUAAUAUAGAAAUGUAUAUCUACAAAUGGAAAUGGGAAUAUAAUAAGCACUUCACAGCCAGUCCAAAGACAAUGUUGAAGUUGAACAUAUCCCUAACAUAAUGUAAUUUACAUGAUGAACUUUUAGAACAUUUUCCAAUGACCAAUCAAUUAAAAUUUUCAACAAUUGAAUACCUCAUUUUGAACAACACUAAUUUUACAGAAAAACUGGAAAAUUUCAUUAAAAUUAUUGGAGGUGUUGAUGCUAAGGAUCAUGUGAAAAGAGCACUCGGUAAAUUAUUCAAAGAUGAAUAUGCAAUAAAAUGCACCUGGACAGGUUAAGGAAAAGAAAUUGUUACAAAAAAUUGGAGAUUCCGCAAUAAUCAAAAUUGUUAAAAAUAUUAUUACAACUAUUGGAGAUGUUGAUCCUAAGGAUCAUGUGAAAAGAGCAAUCGGUAAAUUAUUCAAAGAUGAAUAUGUGAUAAAAUAUGCGGAAAAGAGAUUGUUACAAAAAUAUUGGAGAUCCCGCAAUAAUCAAAAUUGUUAAAAUUACUCAAUCGCAUCUGCCACACCGCUGCUUAAGGACUGCGCUGCUAAUUUGACAUUCAUAAUGCUGUUUCUGUAAUGUAUAUGCUGUGAUGUUAGUUUGUUUGCAAAUUUUAAUCCAAUAUCAUUUUGGAAAUUAUUUAAAUCAAUUAUAAAUUUCCACUGUACAAGGCCAUCAUGAUCAAUAUGUUUAAAGCAUUUUUUAUCCAAUUUUUUGAAGCACUGUACAUUUGAUGAUGCCCCAUCGCAAGUAACACUCUAUAUUCUUAUACCAAUAUCAUAAAGUUUUAAAAUAGCAGAAGUAACUAGCGUACUUAAGACAUUACUGUUAAUUUUGUUUACAAAAAAAUAAGCAAUAGGACAUUUAAAAUGUUUUGUUAAACUAACAAUAAGGAAAACCAAUGCUUCGGUAGCCAAUUCAGAAUUUUCUGAUCCAUCACCAAAUUCAAUAUUUCCAGAAUACUUUCCUGUGCUUGAUUCCCAAAUAAGUUGUUUCUUUAUUGCCAUUGAAUCAAAUAUCAAGCAACAAUCUUGUAGCCAAUCACAUUUCUUAACUUCUACUUUUAAAUAAUUAAAAACUUCACUUAAAAAACCUGCCUCACAGUGUGUAGAGCUCAUCCAACUACGAAUAGUAGAAGGGUGUGGUAAUGUGAAUAAUGUUCUUACAUAAGCAUAAGCUUUUGGUAAAUAAAAGAAUAAUGUUUUUGAAAAGUCUUUCAUAAUUUUGGAAUAGCGUACAGCAUUUUUACCAAGCGUUCUGCAUUUUCGUUCAUGCAAUAAUAUAUGUAAUAGGUACCCACCAAAUCUGUCAUCUAACUGCGACACUAUCUCAUCGGAUGAAGGGAUAUUUUUUUUUAUAUUAAUGAUAAGACCUUUCAAGGACUUAAUUUUCAAAUUCCGUUGAUGCAAACGCUGUCGCAAAUUUUUGAUUUUUUGUCUUAAUUUUUGUUUUGUUGGAGAAGUUAUUUCAUAUUGUACACUUUUGUCUGUCAAAUUCAAAAAAAAAAUUUAAGCGAGCAUUGCAAUAAGUAUGUCUAAUAACUAUAGUACAUAUGAUUAUAAGAAUAGGACAAAGUAAUUAAUAAAGAAGUACACACCUCAACCACAGGUGGACAAUUAUUAACCAUUAACCAUGUCUUCUUUAUCUGCCAUUGAUGUGGUGCUACACGUUGGUGAAUUAGGUUUUAAAUUGUAUUUUUCAGUUAACUAAACAGUAAAUACAAUAAUUAAAACAUUAAAUCUAAUUUUAAAAAAAAAAUUUAAUUUGUUCAUAAAAACUUACUUCAUUUCUGUUAAGCAGACGGCGUUUAACAGGCAUUUUUUCUUGUAAAUACUUAGGAAAACCAUUGAAUAUCCUAGGAUAAGCGUCUUCUUUCAACAGUCUCACACUUGCUGCAGGGCGAAUUUGAUAGUCCUCAGGUAUGAAAUGUUCACUGCAUAUAAAUGAGUAUUUUGUAGGAAUGAAAUCUUUUCUUUUUAUCAUUUUCACCCAUUUUUUUAGUAACUCUGGUUUGUUGAGUGGAAAUCUAAAUAUUAAAAUUAGGGUUUCAAUUGGUUAUUACCAUUGAUUGACUACCAAUAACUAAAAGUUCCAAAAGUCAGAUGUGGCCCAUUUAUAUUUCAGUUAUUAAUUGUAGUAAAAUACCUAAUAUGGUGCUUUCAGUCGACAUAUUAAUUCACGGUACUAAAAAACCAGUAAAUAUUGAAACUUAUUUCCAUCAAUUUAUUGUUGAUAUUUCAUCAUAGUUAGAUACGGGUAUGAAAAUUAAUUGCAUUGAUAUUAAAUUUGAAAUAGGACAUAUAGUGUGUGAUGUGCCUGCAAAGUUUUGCUACUGAAUGUCAAGGGGCAUAAUGUUUUUUUUGUUUGUACUUCAUGUAUUCGGGAAGGUACCUAUGUACAAAAUCGAGUCUUCUUAGAUGUUAAGAUGUUUAGAAAAAACCAAAUGUAAACCAACUAUAUAAUUCCCAAUUACAAUGCUGACUGUGCAGCUGAAUGCUAGGUAUCAUGUAUGUACAGUUUAAUUUUUUUCUAUUACCUACCUCUUUGUAUAUAUUUUUAUAUAAUGUUUCAAUGUAUGUUUUCCUUUUUAAUGUGCUUGAAUUUUGUGUUAGCUCCAAUGAAAACAAUUUAUGACAUGGAUGCCAAUUCUGUGAUUGCCAAUAAUAAUAUGUAUAAUUUGCCUUCUAAGUUGUUAGAACAAUUAUUAUAACUCUUAGAAUAUUCUGUAAUACUUAAUAUAUUAUUAAUAAUUAUAAUUUGUGUUUACCUGUUUCAAAUUCUACUUCUUUGUUGAAUACAACAACUGACUUCAACACAAUUAUUGAUACAACAGGUAUUUAAAUGUGAUCCUAUUAUAUUUUUUUGGUUUAUUAAUCAAUGUUUUGGUGGAUCUAUGAUUUAUUUUAAAUUUAAUGUACAAGAAAUUCUACAUCAAACUUUGACUUAUUAAAUAUUCCUGCAGGUAAUAUAUUAUGUAAUAUAAUAUUAUAUAUACAUAAAUAAAUUAAACUUGUUUUUUUGAAACAUUGUUGUUAUGUAUGUGUAAAAUUGUGUAGAUAAAAUUUUUUAUUAAUGUAAAUUUGAUUUCAGAAUAAUUUUAUUAAUUCUAUUGGUGGCUCUGAUACCAAACAGUACAUCAAGAGAGUCCUUACAAAAUUAUUUUCAAAUAAACUGGCUACAUUUUGCUGUUGGACUGGCCAAAAGAAUAAUUUUUUACUAGUUGAUCAUCAAAUAAUGAAAGCUGUGAAAAGCUUAAUACUUAUUAAAAUUGUUUGAACAAAUAUCAAUUUAAAUAUGCUACCUAAUUGUAUCCUUAGAAAUUUCAUAUGAAUUAUACCAUAACAAUGAACAUACAUUCGAGAUGGCUAUCAAAGAUUGGUUUAGGCACGGAGCUCAACGCCUGAAGAAGGAACAAAUAUUAAUGCAUUAACCAGGCAUUAGCAAUCCAAUAAAUAUCUUUAAAGUGUAUAAUGGAUAAUAACAUCACAUUACUUUUAGUAACAUUUUUUGUAUAUUUCUGGGACUGGAUUUUGCACAGUGGGUAAUGGGUAUACAUUAAUUGAUAAACUUUUUGUUAUUUAUAAAUUAUUUUUCACAGUUCAAAUAUUUGUAUAAAUGUUUUAAAACAGACUGACAAAUAUGUUAUGUUGAAAACUAAUUUACUGGUAAAAAUUACUCAUGUUUAAAAAUUAAAGCAAAUCAGGAUUGCAGUGAAGUUAAAUGAAUUGCAUACAAUAGUUUAAAUUUAACACCUUUUAUAUAGUUGACAAACAACUUUUGUCUAAUGUAUUUAAAGUUGAUAUUAAUGAUAUUAAGUAUAAAUGUAUUUGUAUUUGUAGUACAGGUAACAAAGCUAUUGUUUAAUUAUUAUAUUAUAUUAUAAUAUCUUGUAUUUAUAAAUUUUAAUUGUAUUUUUAAUUCUUAUUUAUAAUAUAUUAUUAUGUAUUUACUGUAUCUAUGUUUUAUUAAUU